rnacentral:lncRNA from 1 species
GCCUAUGAGUUGCUCAUAACUUACACUUUCCAAACUCACAAGGCCUUCAAGAGAUAGAGAUUCCAGCCUGGAGAAGGCAUUAUGAGAAUAACUCCAACUAACGAAGUUAAUGACAUAUGUAACUUCGUCGUUGUUUUGGACGUGGAGAUGCUUCAGUUGAUUAACAGCUUCACUGUCAAAUAGAUAGGAAAUAAUAUUCACACUCUCAAUUCCAUCCAAGUACAAUUGCUCACAUCUCUUUACCAGCAACUUUACACCUCGAUCGAAUUGAUUACUCCUGGUGAGCUUGAGUUUUAGCAUGUUAGAGGAGGUUUCAUCGAAGUCAGGAUAUGCCCAACAAUCACCGAUAAGUAUGGUGUAUCUUUCUAACUUAUCGGAGAACAAGUUAGUUGGAAGAAGGUUAGCAUCUGGAAUGUGUACGUCCAACGCGGUUAGUUGAGCCAAGUGCUUCAGCUCUGAAACUCUAGCAUUACUUCUUCUGCCAUCGACCAAACCUUCACCCUCCCAUAGCUUGAAGCUACGUAUUCCCAUCCUCAAGUCUUCUAGUCUUGUCAAGCUUGAUAUAACUGUUGGAUAUAUGUCAACAAUCUGUGAUAAUUUAUAUAUGCUAAUAAAUAAUAAAUGUAAUAGGAAUUAACAGAAUAUUAACUAGAAUACGAAUUAUAAAAACAACUUGAAGAUCGAGGCUUGCGUACCGCAACGUCCUUGAAACAGAAAUUUCGCCCCUACUCAGUGCUUGUAGUUCUACGGACAUCUGUUCCACCAGGAUUCAACGAUCUAAGUCAGAAAUUCCAGCACCGGAAAAUUGACUUAUGGCGAAUAUUAAUGUGGUUCUCUCAGAAAGGAUGUUUAUGAUUACAGGAGAAGAUUAUUGAUUUUUCUGUGUUCUAAAUGUCAUGCAGAUGGAUGUAUAUAUAGCAGAUGGAUGCCUGUUUGCAACAGAUAUGAGAUGGGAAGUGACUGUUGGGAGACAUCUCUUCAGGGGGUGCUUUGCUCUGUGUUCAGAAAGAACUCUCAGACUUCAAAUUCGAAUUUAAUUAAAAAUAAUUAAUUAAAUAAUUUAAUUAUUAGAGCCCGAGCCCAAAGGCCCAAGGCCCAUCUUUUGAUAAUUAAUUAUAUAUUAAUUAUCUAUUAUUUAUAAUUAAUCAUAUAUUAAUUACCAAUUAAUUAAUACACCUCAAAGCCCAGCCCUAAGGGUGAGCCCAAUUUUAGUCUCCAGGCCUAUUACUCCAAUCACUUUCUAUAAAGGACAAAGCCUUAUAAAGUGAUAAAAACUUUAGGGAAUGGCCAAUGUGGGACAAUGAAAUUUCUACUCAAACUAUUUAAAUUUCCAACAAUACCCCACAUUUGAGUUGAAAUUUCAUUCAAACUCCAACAAUCACCCCACAUUUGAAUGCAAAUGUAGAUGCAAAUGGAGGACUAGGCUGCCUAAAACUGAGAGAGAAUAGGCAUGAUAUGCAUCGGGUGAAGUGUCUUUUGGACUUGAACUUACCCUAGUGAAAACAUAUCGGGUUUACUUGGUGACGCAGUGGAUGUGGAAGAUCUUGAACUGUUCACCGCAGUAGUAAACCGAGACAAUAUGCUACACACAUAUCAUGUCUGCCACACGUCAAUUCAUACGGUUGUGUUCAUUUCGACCCUGAACAUAUCCCGGAUUUCGUAGGAGCUUUAGAGAAUUUAGCCAUGUCAAUUCUCAUAAAUGUGGCCUCAUUUACUCCUAUAUAGGUGACAUUAAUUAAGAAUAGUCUGCCAUAUUCCUCUUGAUAACAAGAUAUUAAUGUCAUUAAAUGUAUAAAACAUAACCCCUCAAACGUCAACAGACAACACACAUUUUAUCAUAAGAAUGGGUUUGUGUGUUCAACUUUUGAAUCAAGACUAGUCUUGAAGAAAAACAGAGCACUAUGCAAAUCUUUUGGUUUUCUUUUGCUUUUGGAGAAAUCUGCAUAGUAAAAGCGAAAAGAAGGUUAUACCACACUUGCAAAGUAGAAGUCGAGACCAUGAACAAGUUUUCACAUACAACUAUUAUAGUAAAAAACUUGCUUGUGCUGAACAAUAAAAAUAUAUGACAUAUAAAAAGUAGAAUCCAUAUAAAUUGGACCAAACUACAAGGCAAAAAUAAAAUGUAAUCCAGCCCAAAAGAUGAGGAUGUGCCUUACAUACAAAACAACAUUCAGAAAUAAACAAAUAAAAAAUAAAAUAUGAAUUUCUUCCUCAAAAGGGGGGAAGAAAACGUACAACACAGAAAUCUCCUAUUUCUCUGCAGGGCGUGGAAAAAACUGCACAAGUUAGCGGGAGAGGUUAAGUAAAAGUGGCAGGAGGUCAUGGCCUCCAACAUCCCCCACGUAAACAAAUUCUAGAGCUUUCCUAGGAUGCCUAUAAAUAGGCAUCACCUGCAGCAAAAUGGAGACAGAAAAAAAAUAAAGGGAGGAGACGCUGCAGAAAUUGAAAAGCACAGAGAAGACAACAGAGAGGCAAAGCAAGAGAGCAAAGGCACAACAAAGGAAAAGAAAGAAGAAGAAGAAAUCAAGAGCUACACGCAAGAACAAAGAGCAGGAGAAACUACACGGCAUUUGAAGGUAUAAGCCGUUUCAUUCUUUUUAAUUUUUUUUUUCUGGGUUGGUUCUCUUCUCUGCUUUGUAGGAAGAAAAGAAGCACUUUGCUUCUUCAAACUGUCCCAUUCCCCAGAGCAAAAAAAAUGAAGGUAGAGACUCUAAAUAAGCAACCCCAGAUCCUUUCUCUCUCUGGUUAUUCACCGAGACCUACGAAGAAAACUUGGGAAAUUUCUCCUCCCUGCGCAACCGAUGGCAGCAAGUGUUGAUGUAUGCAGCAACCAAACCGCAACACCACCGCUCUUCAACCGUUGUCUUCAGCAGUCCUUCGGAAGAAGCCCAAGGGCCCCGAGGACGGUGAACCAAGCAAUCAACCAAGCCGCAACACCACCGCUCUUCAACCGUUGUCUCCAGCAGUCAUUCGGAAGAAGCCCAAGGGCCCCGAGGACGGUGAACCAAGCGAUGUAGUUAGGCACGCAGGUCCAGACCAUCAACAAAUUCAACAAAUGCUCGUAUGGGAAGAUGGCAGCGAUGGUCAGUGUGAAGAAGUGAAAGAAAAAAAUGCAACACCAAUCGCCGCGAGUCAUUCCCACCCCACCAACAGUGGCGAGAAUAGCCUAAAACCUUCAGAAAAUGUGGAAGACAUCCGAAGGCAAGAAAGCCGAGAAUUUGGGAAAAGAGAAAUGUCCCCAGGUCCGAGGAUGCAGCGGAAAUAGUUCUAAAGUUGCACUUUAGAACAGAUUGCAGAGGCUCAAAGGCUCUCUGUGAAGCUCCUGCAGCCUCUCGGGUGUCUAAAGAGGUUUUCGACAUCUCUCUUUCUCUUCUCAGAGAUGCAACGGAGAAGAAACCAUCAUUCUGCAUGUUUGAACAAGUGGAAAAGAAGAACCCAGCAUGCCCAACGAUGGUUCCGAGGCUCGCCAACAGCGCAAAGAUGGACACACCAGCAGCAGCCAUGCCGUGAUCUCUGCCCAGCAAGUUCGUCCAUGCCGAGAAGAAAAAGGAGCAGUUUGUGCCGCUGUAGUUUAGUCCCAUGAAUUUCUUCGGGGUGGUCUAAACCACCCCGUGAAGUUCCAAUCAAACCUGAAAUUUGCGUGAGAAUUCCGAUGCCAUGCUCUGUCUUCUCAAAGUUGAAGAUGUUGAAUACUGCAGCAACAUGCAACAAGCACGAACAUGGAAAAGCAACAACAAAAUGACGGACGUGAAGACAAAAUGAAAUGGACUUCAAGACAAAAUGAAUGAAAAGGAAGGCAAAUAAAAGAAGGAAAAGUUGCUCAUCACGUAGGAGUCUGCUCACAUAAAGGAAAAGUAAGGUCGAUUGAAAUUAGAAGACAAGUCUUAUUGGAAUUUGGAGACCUUUAAAAGUCAAAUAAAGAGAACAGUAAAGCAUGACUGUUAGAAAUAUUGAAGUCUCACUUUUCCUUCAAAGUCUCAGCCACAAAAAAACAAAAGCAAAUUGUACCUCACAUGGGAAUACUCACGUGAAGAAAAGGGUGGUCUAUUGAAAUUAGAAGUCCCAUUUGGAACUUGGAGACCUUUAAACUCAAAUAAAGAAAAGUGCAAAGCCUGCUGUCAGAUUAAAAGAAAAACUUGGGUCUUGGAUUAAAUGGGUUCAAAAUCUCAUGACAAAUGGGUUUGAAAAUUCAAAAGCAAAGUUAUAAAAAAAAGGGGGAAGCUACUUCUUAAAGAAUUCCAUCAAAAGCCUUUUUGUGCUAAGACUUUGACGACAUAUGAUAUCCCAUAUGGACUUGGAAAAAUCAAAGUGUACAAGGGAAGAAAUAAGAAGCUUGCUACAUACAAUUCCCUCAAAUUAAAAUGGGAAGGCUAUCCACGAAACCAGAAAGAAAAAAAAGAGUAGCUCUUCCAUAUUACUCAUAUGGGUUUUAUGAAUAUGGCAUCCAUCAAAGUUAAAUUUAUUCAAGAAGUCCGAGAUGCACGGCACCGAGACAAAGUCAAAUACCAAAGUAAUAGUGGGUUCAUCACAAAUAUUCCCAUUAAAUUUACAAGAUACAAGUAAUGGCACAAAGCUGCGAUGAGUCUCAAAAAUAAUGAACUACACCGGUUUGAUUCUGUUAAGGAUAUGUAGGCAGUCUGAUAUCAAAAUUUUAGACGCAAUCGUGAAGUUGAACGAAUCCCUGGUUUAUAUAAACUAAAUUCACUCCUGCUAUCAAAUACCAAAAUGGCACGAAGCCGAAGAAAAAUUUUCAAAGUGCACAAAGCCGUAUCAAGUAUCAAAGGGCAUAAAGCCGCAACAAAUCUCAAUGGCAUGAAGCCGUAUCAAGUAUCAAAAGGGCACGAAGUCGUGACAAGAUUUAAAUGGCACAAAGCCACAUAUGCUCCUUGCCCGCACGAGCUAAAACUGCACAAGACAUCAAAUGCUCCUCGCCAUCAUGAGCUAAAACUGCAUAAGGCACUAAUCGCUCCAACGGCUUAAAGUCCUCGCCUGCAUGAGCUAAAACUGCACAAGGCAUUAAUGCUCCAGUGGCUUAAAGUCCUCGCCAUCAUGAGCUAAAACUACACAAGGUAUUAAUGCUCCAAAGGUUUAAAGUCCUCACCCGCAUGAGCUAAAACUGCACAAGGCAUUAAUGCUCCAAUGGCUCAAAAUCCUCGCCCGCACGAGCUAAAACUGCAACAAAGCAUCAAAACCAAACAAGUAUUAAAUACCAAGGAACUAUGAGUGACUUGAUCCCUCAAUGAGGGUACGUAAGCAAUCUAGGGUUCUAUCUAGGUGCAGUCACAAAAUCAAAUAAACAUCCAAAUCCCCAAAUUACGAUUUAUUCAUAUUAGAAUCAAAGGGUGUUCCUUUCCCAAAUGAAGGGUUGUAAUUAAUAGGCGCGUAGCCUAGAAUGGGUCGAACUCGAAUUAAUAAAACCCUUUUCAAGAAAUGAACGAGGGUGAAAUUGUGUCGAGUGAAUUAUUUGUUGUACAAUUUUUGCUCAACAGCUUGGUACGGAAUUUAGGCAACCGUUUUCAAAUCUUAAAAACUAUGAAAAACAUAUAUAAUCUGCUUUGAAUUUCACUGAGACAUUUUAACAAACACCGUAUCAGCACACAUAAAGCUGGUGCAUGAGGCAGAGAUCGAAAUGUAGAACGAUUUGCUCGUUGAAGACCUCAUAGGCUCGUUAAACACUAUAUCACAGAGCUACUGAGCUGGAUGGUACAAUGGAGUUGGCCCCCGAUUCUCGCAAGCUGACCUAGUUAACUCUGCCAAGGCUCGACGAGUUCUAGAGGCUCAUGAUGAGCUAAAGAAAUCCGAGGCCAUCAACCGCGAAAUCAAGGCAGCCGUCUCCUCCUGUUGCUGAAGAACAAUCCAAGUUCAAUGAGGACACGCCUCAUGUUGCUGAAAUGUAGAACGAUUGGCUCGAAGGUGAGCUCUCCGAUGUCCCGAAUCCCCAUCCUCCUCGCCGCCUCUCGGCCUCUCGUUCCACCGAGAGUUGGGCGUUGUCAUCGUCGUCGUUAACGGGGAUCGACAAAAUGUAGGCGGCCUUGUCGGUGCCGCCGUAGAGCUCUGUGUCGAAGGUGACGAAGGUGAGGGAGACCAAUUGCAGCCCAUGAAAACAUUUCCCAGCUGAAAAUUUGAGCUUUUUCUAGAUUCUGUGUAAGAAUUUCAAAAAUCCAAUCGUUUAAUUUGGUUUUCUGCUUUGUUUUUAGUAUCGUUUUUCGCACUCUCUUCUCUACAGAGUAUGAAAUUUCAAACAUUUUGUAAUUUAUGGGAUGUUUUCAAUGAAAGCUCAUAUCUAGAUAUGAGAAAAUAAUCCACCUUUUUGUCUUCUUUGGAGAUUUUGGCAGAUUUUUCUGUUUUUUUUUUUAAGAGUAAAUUGUAACUAUGAUUUUUUAAUUUUAAUUCAAUUAGAGUAAUAGUUCUUCAAUUAAAAAUUCAUUACCAUUGAUCCAUCAACUCAUCAAAACGUACAGCUAUAGUCCCUCAACUAAAAAUUCAUUACCAUUGGUCCCUCAACUUUAAUUCAAUUGGAGAAAUGAUCCCUUAACUUUAACCUAAUUGUAGCAAUGUUCCUUCCAACAUAACUCGUUUUGACAAAAUUUUUGAUGUAGUUGACGAAAAUGACCAUAAUUACACACUUUGAUGAGUUGAGAGACCCUAAUUGUAUAAAUGGUCAUUCCAACAUAACUUAUUUUGACAAAAUUUUGAUGAAAAUGACUAUAGCUACACAUUUUGAUAAGUUAAGGGAUAAUUGCUCCAAUUUGAUUAAAAUUGAGGGACCAUUGCUACAAUUUACUCUUUUUUUAAUAAUUUUACAUUCAUCAUUUAUUUAUACCAUCACUUGUAUAAUUUCUUUAAAACAGAUAUGUUUGUCAACGCAUGUAAAUUCUUAAAGAUGAUACAAAAGAUGGUAUAAAUAAACGGUUAAAAUAGCAUUUUUAUCCCUCUUAACAGAGUCUCAAAGCCUAUCAAAACUCUAAAAACUCCAUUGCAGAUCCCCAAUAACCUUCUGGUUUUCAUUUUCCAUUAUCCAAUUUGGACUCAAAAUCCAACCGAACCCUCCAAAUUCAGCAAACUUUGGUUUUAAAUUUUGCCUCCUCUAUUUCACACUUUCAUCCCUCUAUUUCACACUUUCAUCAAAGAAAAGUGUUAAAAUUGUAGUCUCUUUUGGUCUCAAAUCAGACUUCACAAUCCGAUUUCUAAAGUAAGGAGGGAGAAUGAUGAGACUUUGAGGCUUCGUCAAUCCCACAUCCCAAUGUUUUAAAUUUUAUUGUUAUUUUGAAUUUGCCAAAAAAAAAAUUAUGCACAGUCAUCAUCCACGUAGGCCACAAUGACAAGCCAUUACAAAAUCAUCGUCCACGUGAGUACCACGUUAUGUUUUAACGAAGGUUCAGACAGUCAGACUAACGGAAAUAUGAAAAUGUCACAAAAUUCAAACUUUAGACUUUAUGUAUGAGACUUGUUUGUACCAUACUUGACCAAUCCCGAAACUAUCGAGCAUUGGACAACGUUAUACCGUCAAGGACCUAGAAGAGUUUUCGUCCAACUAGGAGGCCAAUCACAAGGCGACACAUGUCGACAUCAGAAGCCAAUCAUAGCGCGACACGUGUUAACAUCGAAAGCCAAUCACAACACGACACAUGUCAAUGUCAGAACAAAGCUAGAAACUCUCUUUUAUAAAAGGAGAUCAUUUUCCCACAAUAUUUCCGAAUGUCAUUUGUACUAAAUCAUUCACCAGUACUCACUAAAGGAGAGCUUGAACCUAUGUACUUGUGUAAACUCUUCACAAUUAAUGAGAAGUCCUCUACUCCGUAGACGUAGCCAAUCUGGGUGAACCACGUACAUCUUGUGUUUGCUUCCCUGUCUCUAUCCAUUUACAUACUUAUCCACACUAGUGACCAAAACAAUCUAGCGAAGGUCACAAACUUGACACUUUCUGUUGUACCAAAGUCCUCACUGAUUUUGUGCAUCAACAUUUGGCGCCGUCUGUGGGAAUGACACUUAUUCCCACUCUCUUCAGCUUUGUCAAGUUGGUUUCCACCAUUCAUACACUCUUUUGACUAGGCAUCCCUUCCCAACAUGGGGAGCGAAGGAAGCCACAACACACAUAAUGACACCCCUCUUGCACCUAGUGCGAAGCAACGAAAGAAUGAAGGAAAAAGGGUUGCUCUUCAAGCUAAAGUCGAUGAGCUGGAGGCUCAGAACAACAAGAUGGCAAUAAAGAAUGAAAUCCUUCAGGAACAAUAUGAGAAGUUCUUCGAGACGCUCCACAAAACUAGACGUGCUCAAACACACAAGCUUGUGGCCCAUGUGGACAUCAACCAUCAUCUGGGUGCCCCCCAACACGAAUGGUCACUUUCCUUCGACAUGGAUAUCCCUAAUAAGGAGCAAGCUAGUCAUCAAAACAUUGAUCAACAUGAGACUUCUCUCAACCCAGCUGCUUCGACCCGAAGCAAGAGAAGUGGAGGAAGACACCUCAUUGCAUAAAGGUUAGAAGGAUCAAAAGCCGUUUAUCGUGACUGCCGAGACUUCCUAAAGCAACGUCGAGAGAAUCCCCUCCACAUAAGCUCGAAGAUCAAUGACCCAAGGGUUUCUGAAAAACUCGGUCCCCUCCCACGACCCAGGCCAGCUGCCAAUCUAGGGAAGGAACGACAUGUCCCAAAGAAACAUGAAGGUACAUGGGACUGGGAGGUAUUCCGACAUACUCGCCGUAGAAGUCAGUACGGCAAGUCCAAGGAAAAACCACACGCUCUUGCUCAAACUUUCCUACUUCCAAAAGGUGAUGGAGACUUACGGAAGAAAAUUCCAGUAGUACAUGACUCCACUCAGGACCCUUUUUUCCUACAGCUUCUUGAGGAAGUAAACAAGUUGAAGGCCGAACGUCAGGCCGAGAUACUUGACUGGAACCAACCCAGGUCUGGCCCUCUCACAAAGAGCAUCAUCGACACCCCCUUCAAGCGAAGACAAAACAAAAGCUUGGUUUACAACUCUAUACUGGAAGGAAUGACCCGAUUAAACACCUUAACCACUUUAAGUCCACCAUGACAUAUCAGAUGCACACCGACGAAGAGCGAUGUCUUCUCUUCCUUUCCACCCUCUUUGGCGGAGCUCUAAACUGAUGACUUGUACACUAUUAGCCAAAAACCGGACCAGUCACUACGAGAGUAUGCCAGUCACUUCAGCCAUGAGUAUUCUCGCUGCAUUGAGGCAGAUGACAAGACCGCCCUCAAGGCUUUCACGGCAGGCCUACGUGAUUGUUUCUUCAAGUACAUGAUCAAUGCCAACACUUGGAGGACUUACUCUGAGGUGAUGGCACAGGCUUACAACCACGUCUCUGCUGAAGCAAGGACAUACCAAGGGAACCCACAUAUGGUUAACCCCUAUCAACAAGUGGGAAGUGGAAGUUAAGUUUUACUAAGUGAGGAGAUCUUGACCAUUCAAACACAUAUUGCAUCAUCUCCUGCCUCAUUUAGCUACUCGCUAAGUCACCAAACGUAUUUGUCUCUUGGUAAGAGGAAAGAUUUUUACUCUUAGCAAGCCCAUUACAACAAGAGUGAUAAAAGUUCGUAUCAAGACAACUAGGGGUGAACGUACUGUUGACUAUUAUGACUAUGGGGCUAAGCCUCACUCUUUCAAAGUGGAGGACUAGGUACUGAAGGAAAUGCUAUUAUAAGAAGGCAUACACAUUACAAAUGUUUUGACCCUCAACCGCUUGAGAUCUUUUGUCACACAAGCCAUUCGGCAAAUAUUUAAAGAAGAAGGAAUUCAGACAACUUCUCUUGAGUCUUUUGCAUUCCUAGCACUGGAACACUUGGUCUACGCUGACCUACCCCUAUACUCCAACUCAGAGCUUCAACAUGCGUACUUUGACACAAAGUAUGUGAUACUAAGUGUUACAACCAACAUGGUUCACAUAUCGAAAGCAUGGAUCCGUUCAUGCAUAGCAAAACAUUUAUAAGCAUCACUCAUGUCAAUCAACAUAAACAUCAUACAUUCCAACACAUUUAUACAUAAACAUCAUACAUUCCAACACAUUCAUACAUAAACAUCAUACAUUCCAACACAUCCAUACAUAAGCCAACUGUGCUUCGAAAGGGUUCAACAUACUUUGUGUCAUUCGACACUUCCUACAAUGUGCCUCGACACAUUGCCCUUAUUCUUACCAACCAGGUGAUGAAAUGUGAAAAAGGAACUCAUCUUCAUGCCACCAAUCAGGUGAUGAAAUGUACAACCCGUACUCUAAUAUCAUUUGGCAACUUGCCACUCAUGCCACCAACCAGGUGAAGAAGGAACUCAUCUUUAUACCACCAACCAAGUGAUAAAAUGUACAACCCAUACUCUACUUCAUGCCACCAACCAGGUGAUAAAAUGUACAACUACAAAUUCUCAAAAGCUUCACACUAUCUUGAUCAAAAUAGUGUGAAGCAAAAUCAAUUCAUGGUACCCAACAAAGCUUCACCUACAAUGCUUCACCACAAAAGCUUCAGCAACAAAAGCUCCAACAAAUGGAGGGCAACUACAAAUUCUUAAAAGCUUCACACUAUCUUGAUCAAGAUAGUGUGAAGCAAAAUCAAUUCAUGGUACCCAACAAAGCUUCACCUACAAAAGCUUCAACACAAAAGCUUCACGUACAAAGCUUCAACACCAAAGCUUCACCUACAAAAGCUUCACCUACAAAAGCUUCAACACAAAAGUUUCACCUACAAAAGCUUCACCUACAAAAGCUUCAACACAAAAGCUUCACCUACAAAAACUUCACCUAUAAAAGCUUUAUACACUUUUGAUCAAGAUAGUGUGAAGCAAAAUCAAUUCAUGGUACCCAACAAAGCUUCAACUUCAAAACUUCACCUAUAAAACUUCAACACCAAAGCUUCACCUACAAAGCUUCAACACCAAAGCUUCACCUACAAAGCUUUAAUAUAUAUAUAUAUAUAUAUAUAUAUAUAUAUUUUUUUUUUUUUUUGGAAAUUAAAAAAUUCGGAAAUUCAAAAAAAAAAAAAAAAAAGGUUCGAAAAUUCGAAAAAAAAAAAGGGCCUAGGCCUCCUCUUCUUUGGGCCUAACAACUUUCAUAACAAAUAUAUAUAUGAAGGAGGAGUUUUGGGCUACCACUUAGAAAGAAAAAUGGUGAAAUCUUGUUACACUAGAAAAUUGGCUACUAGCAAGACACCUCAUUCGUCAACUCCCUCGACCAGAGACUUGGGGGGACUCCUACCCAUAUGCUACUGCACCUUGAUACUUCGAAGUCUUACGACCACUCAGCGACGGAUUUUUCAAGUCUCCAACCUAGAAAUUUUCCUCACUCGGGAAAUUAAGGGAGCACUACCACAACCUACAUGCUUCACUCACAAAGCUUCAACAUACAAGCUUCAACAAAAGAAAAAAAUUCAAAGAACUUAGUGAAUGAGGCCUUGGUGUAUUUAACACAAUACGUUGAAAUGAAGCAAAGCUUAUUUAUUGAUAUCUCUGAUAAGUUACAAAUAUGUACAUAUAAAUAAAUCAAAAUAAACAAACAAGAGGGAGCCUUCACAAAGGUUGCUCAGGAGAAGUCUCAGCAGUCGGCAGAGCCCCAGAAAGAGAAUGCACCGGAGGGUGAUCAUUCGGAGCCUUAGUACUGGCCAGAACCCUAGAAGGAGAAGGCACCAGAGGUUGAUCAUUUGGAGCUUCAUUACUCGGUACAACCCCAGAAGACGAAGGCAAUAAAUGCCUUUAGAACAAACCCACAAACCUCUAAUGAUAAAGUAAAAUCUGACCAUUUGAUUCCUGCAGCUGGUCAAGCUUCCUCUUCAUGUUUGUAGCAUAGUCAUGUGCGAGCAUGUGCAACUGUUUAUUCUCAUGCUUGAGCCCUCUAAUCUCCUGUUUGAGACUUAUUACUUCAGCCGCUAAUGAUUCAACUUGGUGGGUUCGAGCAAAUAGGCGUUAGGCCAUAUUAGACAUAGAACCUGCACACUGAACAUUGAGAGCCAGAGAAUCCUUAACAGCCAACUCAUCAGACCAUUUGGAAAGUAGUCUGUUAUCUUUGAGAGUGAGAAGGUUCCUGGCUACCACCGUAGUGGUCAUAUCAUUCUUCAUCACAGAGUCUCCAACGAUAAGAGGACCAGCGGGGGAUAAGAAAGAUAUGCGCCAUAUGUUGUCUUGAGAAAGCAUGGCUGCCUCUUCACCACGUCUUAAAAACUCACAAGGUCUUCAAGAGCUAGAAACCAAUAGGCAACUGUUUUCAAAUCUUAAAAACUAAAAACAUAUAUAAUCUGCUUUGAAUUUCACUGAGACAUUCUAACAAACACCGUAUCAGCACACUUAACGCCGGUGCAUGGGGCAGAGAUCGAAACGUACAACGAUUUGCUCGUUGAAGACCACCAAGGCUCGUUAAACACUGUAUCACAGAGUUACUGAGCUAUAUGGUACGAUGGAGUUGACCCCCGAUUCUCACAAGCUGACUGAGUUAACUCUGCCAAGGCUCGACGAGUUCCAGAGGCUCAUGACGAGCUCUAGUUUACGAGAGAAAUCUGAGGCCAUCAACUGCGAAAUCCAGGCAGUCAUGAGCUCGAGCAACGCAAGGUCAGGAACAGAGACAACCUCAAUCUGAAAGGUCGAGCAGAGCGAGGAGGCUGCCAAGUGUUUGAUUUUGUUCAUCUUAAAGAGAAUUUAAUUUUUUUAUUUUUUUCAUUUACAAGUAUGAUAAAUGGCAGCCAUGGUGAUUGGUCCUAGAAGAAGGAAGGUGGAGUAAAAAUGGUGAAAAAGUUGCAGGGAGGAAGAAAGGAGGUGUUUGGUUGUGUGUAAAAUUCUUAUAAUAGCAGGUGUCUUAAACUUGGUAGACCACAUAAGCAAAGUCGUAUUGGGUACUCAAAAGACAAAUACAAUUUUACAAUUUAAGGACAAUACUUGUACUGAACAGUCAGUAGUCCAAUUUUACUGACCACCUACAUAUAACCCAGCAACCAAACACCCAGAUUGAUAGGAUCAGGCAUGAUAAAAGAGAAAUUCAUAUUUCCAUUCAUGCCAAAUUUAGAUGAACAUAGUAGUUUAAAUACACAAAAGGAUAGCUAGGAAUUAGUAAUUUUAGUGGGUUUAACAAUAGCAAUGGGCUAAUAAAUACUAGUAACCUAUGGUGGCCCAAGGGUCCUAACACAGAUUCAUUCACGCCACCAUUGUCAACCCAUCUCUCACAGAUCCAGAGCAGCCCAUCCUCUCACUAGCGACCCCCCUCCAAUCCCUCUCAUCUCCGGCGAUCCCACUCCUAAUCGUUCUCUUCUUCAGUGACCCACCCCGAAACCCUCUCUUAUACUGCCAAUUGGGUGCAUGUACGCGAGGAAGAUAACAAAUUUGGGUGAAUGGAGCACAAAAAUCCAUCUUCCAUAUAUUUUAAUGACCCAAUUAGGUGCACGUAUGCUAGCAUCCAUUAUCUAUGAUGUCUUUUCGAGAUAUUUCAGACUUUCAUCAACUUAUUUUGUGGUGAGAAGUGGGGGAUUGGGGUGGGGUCACCGGAGAAGUAAAGAAUAAGGGUGGGUCGCCGGACAAGUGAUGGAAUGGAGAUGCAUUCUGCACAUAGGCGAGGAAUGGGUAUGGGUAAGGGAUGGAAAAGCAUUUCGUUUUCCAUUUGCUUCCUCAAACCCGAGAGAUUUCUGCGAUUGCAAAGAGAGAGAGAGAUGGGGUGUCCUUUAGGUGCCCUUUAAUUGUCACUUUUGUGAUUUGUCCAUUUUGAUUGUUGUGUGACUCAUUCUCACGACCGUUCUAUGCACAAGGUUUCAUGUCAUUCCUUCCUUUUAAUUUUGAUAUUGUUGUGCUUAAUUUCUGUUUUAUUUUAUUGGAUGAUUAGAUUAACAGACCUUGGAUAUUUUGUUAUAAUAAUUUCACAUCAUGUGUUGCCUUUUUGCAUCACCUUAAUUGUUCAUCAGAAGCUAACUUUUAAUUAUGUUUUCUUUAGGUCAGUCUCCAUCCGGUACAUUUGUCCAUUCUUCUGGAGUGGAGCACUAUCUUUCUGACAGCAUAAAUGCUAUGAGAAACUACUAUGGAGACAAACAGUUGUUUACUCCGUUCUAGAUAUGUUUUUCUUUAGUAUUUUAGAGGGAUUCUUAACUAUUCCCCAUUGUAAUCUUUACCUUUGUAUCUAUCUCUCUCAAAAGACGAUGAGAGUAGCAACUGUUAAAGAUGGGAGCUUUGAAUAAUUCACAUAAACCUCUAAUUUCAAAUUUCUGAAGCGCUCCGGCCAAAUUGAGCUUCCUGACUGGACCGACAUUGUGAAGACUGCCACAUUCAAGGAGCUUGCAGCAUAUGAGCCUGAUUCGUACUACAUUAGAUCUGCAUUCAUGGCAAGUAAAAUCUACUUGAGGGGUGGUCUUGGUGUUGGUGCCUUCCGCAGGAUCUAUGGAGGGAGCAAGAGGAACUGAAGGAAUACUGAGAAGUAUGCAACUCUUUUUGCUUUGCUUUAUCAUUUUUGUACUAAGCUUCUUCUGGACACAACCGCAUGGUAGUAGCAAAAGUUGGGUUAUACAGCACUUGCAAAGUAGAAAUUAUGCUACGAAACGGAUGUUUCUUGAUCAUCAAACAACAAAAAGACUAAAUAGAUGAUGAAUGACUUUCGGAAAACAAUUUUUAUAAUCCAAAAACUUGCUUGGUAUUGAGCUUAGAAACAUGCAAACAUGUAUAAUUUGCCUUGAAUUUCACUGAGACAUUUUAACAAACCAUAUCUUCACACUUUGAGCCCUGCAGAAAAUGAAAUGAAGAACAAUUCGCUCGUUGAAGACAACCAAGUUUCAUUGAAGACGUGUCUAGUGCCCAUAUCUAAAAUGUCAAAAACUAGUAAAUUUGUGUUUGGUGGUAAAAUUCUGUAAUAUAAAUUUUAAGAUAGUAACAAUGGGGGUGGUGAUGGUGUUUGCAGCUAGAGUGGUGUUGGUAGCAAGGCGGUUGAGGUGGUGGAAGAGGGGUGUUGGUACCAGUAUUGGUGAGAUAUGCACAUUGGGUGGCGGCAAGAGUAGGGUGGUGAGGGGAAAUAGUGGUAGGUGACGAUGGUGAUGCUGGUGCAGGAGGUGGAAAUUGUGGUGGCUAUGAUAGUAGGGUGACGGCGAUGGAGAUAGUGGUGACUGGCAUUGCCAUAUCUAUGGCAUCUGUAAACAUGAACUUUUAUCAGCCUGGAAAAAGAGUCUAGCAAGUUGGUCGUGCCAUAUUAAUUGUGAUCAACUGAGGCAAAUCGUAGAUGAUUAGUCUCUGCAAGUUAGGAAAUCCGACCUACAUACACACACACGCACACACAUUAAUCUUUUUUUGUGCGAUAGAUAAUCGGAAAUUGUUUGGACUCAAAAUAUACCAAUUUUUACUUAUUUGGGCAAUUUGGGUAAAAGAUGGUAUUUGAAGGAUUAAUGUGCAAGAAAACUAACUUGGAAAGAUAUUUGGCUAAAAGUGGGAGAGUUUGGCAUUAAAAUAAUGUUUUUCCCUUUGGUUUGGACGGUGGAGGUUUGCCAAAAGAAUUGUUUAAUCAAGACAAGUGCAUGCUUUUUCAUGCAAGUGGAUGAGAAUGCACCAUGAGAGCUUUCGGACAAGGAACAUGUGAAAUAAGUCAACUUACUUCUUUUAAAUGUUAGUUUAUUACAAGUGGAAAAACAUGUGAUGAAAGCAUGUGGUGGAAAUGCAAGUUCCCCUUUUAAUAUUGUUUCUACAUGCAAGCUGUCCAAGCAAUGAAAUGCAAGCUGCCCAAGCUUCUUUCGGGCAAGUACAAGGUCCUCAGCAGGGGGGUUUCCUCCAGACCUCUAUAUAAAGGAGCACAAGCACAAGGAUUAUGGACACUCAAACAACCAAACAAAUACAAGCACAAACUCUGCUCAAACUAGAUUUGCCAAAAGCCUUCUUUUAUCUAGUUUAUUAGCUAUGCUGUUCACUAGUAAUAUUGAUCUCAUUUGUAGUCUUUAUGUACAACUCAUUUUCAGUCAUUUAAUCUACAAGCAAUCUGCAAUAUUAGUCACUUUCCCCUGUUAUUUACAUUUUCAAGCAACCUUGUCAUUUACAUAUUGUUCUAUCUCUCCAUAUAAGUAAAAUCCUUAUUUUUAAGGCAAACAAAGAACCUUGAUUUGAGCAACUCCCACUCAAAUGGCACAAUCUCUUGAUUUGAAGUCAAAAGGCGCAACCUCAAUCAUUCAAAUCCCGUCUACUAGCGGCAUCUAGUAGUGGCACGCCCACACCCCACCACUCUCGUAUGUGAGCAAAUCCCCGGCAUGCCCACAAGGUCCAUGGCGGAUUUAGGGAGCGAACAGAAAUAAAUGCAUAAACAAAGAUAAAUGCAUGAAUAAUAAACAUUUUCAUCGAAAAGAAAAUAUUGUACAGCAGUCUCAAGAUUCUCCUUCCACCCAUUCUCUUCAGUUUCUUUGUGUUUUGUAAUACUUUCACCCUUACCAUCAAAUAUGAAUGCCCUCAGUUUAAGACAAUCUUCUAGAUGCAACAGCUUCAAAGCGGAAGUUCAAUAUGUAUAACUUCCUGCUCAGAAUCUAGCGGGAGAUAUUGCAAUUGUAGAUGUUUUAGCUUUCAAAACCUGUUAUCCGUAUUUACGUCACUAUAUUUGAGUUGUACAUUUUUUGACAUUUGGAUUCCUCAAGAUGUUUGAGUUGUACAGAACAUCUAGCCAUGGAACAUGAAAACAAGAAUCUUAAACCAUCAAGCUUGUUAAGUUGGGGCAUCUGAACCAGCUGUAUAUAAUACACAAUGUAAGUGUAAUUAGCAAGAAUGACAAUUUUCAUGGUUAUCAAUUAGUUGUAUUUAUUCCAAAAUGUAUAGACAAGAAAAGAUGAGUAGACAUAAAGUAAAGGUCUAAUAUGAAACAACUAGUAACCCAUUGCUAGUAUGCGUUUUGUUCUUUCUUCUUUGGUUAACCAAACCAUAUAAUCAUACAUUAUCCUUUAGGCACAUUAUUUUCUCUAUAAGCUGAGCUACCAUUUUGUUAGAGGUUUUUAUCACAAAUAGUCUCUGAAAUUGACCUUAUUUUUCACUUUGGUCCUUAAAAUUGAAAACCGAUCUACGUCGUCUCUAGUGUCCCAUUUUGUUAAUUUUUCAGUUACUUUAAUAACAUGUCACACAUGGGGACCCAUACGUCCAAUAGUGUAGUGCCACGUGGAUUAUACAUAAAAUACAGUUUUUAAUUUGAUUUAACAUUUAAAAACUCAUUAACAAAACUGAAAAAAAGUAAGAUAAAUAAACAAAAAUAAAAAUCAACCGAACACCUCCAUCUCAAAUCAAAUUGCCGAAAAUUAAAAUCAAAAUCGAUUUGCGAAAAUCGAAAUCCCAAAAAUGAAAUCAAAACACGUAUUACGGAUUCAUAGGAAAGAGUGAGAGUUUGUUAAUCACCUCCCCCACCCCACGCCAAACCGAACCUCUCCCGUAACCUGGCUGCUGGUCGCUCCUCACCCCAUCCCCUUGACUCUGGUGCUUUGGAGAAGAACAUGAAAUUAAAUUUGAAGAGGGUAUGGAGAUGAUAGUUGGCGAUGAGGAGCAGGUAGCUAGGUUAGUUUUUUCAUCUAUUUUUUUAAAACCCAGAAAAUGAAAGUCUCUUCUUGAUUUGAAGAAGCUUUCUUUUCUGCCGGUGUUUUGAAGCAGCUGGGUUGGUAACUUGGUAGUGCUCUUCCCCCACUCUUUUUUUUUUUUUGGGGAGUUGUGUUCAUGAUUUUAAAUCUUGUAUUUUCUUUAAAAAGUUUAGUCCAUGUGGCUCCACACAUUAGUUGUAUGGGUCCCCAUGUCUGACACCUCAUCAAACAACAACAAUACAAUAAUAACAAAGCAUUUUCUCACUAAGUAGGGUCGGCUAAAUAAACGACACCUCAUCAAAGUAACAAAAAAUAAAUGGAAUGGGACGGUAUAGACGACAUUAAUCGAUUUUCAAUUUUAGAAGCUAAAGUGAGGAGUGAGGCCACUUUCAAUAACAAUUUGUAAUAAAAACCCUUUUGUUAGCAGAAAUCCAUAUUCAUGAAAAGAAAAGAUCAUACCUCCCCAAUUCAGGAAAACUUUCGUAGCCCUGCAAAUUACAUUCUCCAUAGUGAUUUCUCCGGCUUCUGUAUAUGUAGUUGCUUCUGAGUCCGUGCAGUUACAAGUUACAACAGAGGUGCUGAAAAACCAAUGAACUUUGGUAGAUUCUACCACAUCAAAGACCGUAGUUUUUCAGAGGGCUAGUCUAUGAGAUGGCCACAACAUACACUUUCCAAACUAACAUUGUUGUAAAGAGAGUGACGCCAAGUUUGGAAAGCCAUUAUGAGAAUAUCUCCAUCUACUCAAGUUAAUGGAUAUGUAACUUGAUCAUUGUUUUGAACAUGGAGAUGCUUCAGUUGUUUAACACCAUCUAUGUCCAAUAAAUGGGAAAUAAUAUUUACACCCCCCUUCCCAUCCAAGUGCAAAUGCUCGGAUCUCUUUAGCGGCAAUUUUUAUAACUUGAUCGAAUUGAUUCUUUGUAUUUAGCUUGAGUUUUAGAAUGUUAGAGGAGGUUCCUUAGACAUCAGAAUAUAACCACCAAUCACCAACAAAGACGGUGUACCUUUCCAAACUAUCUGAGAACAAUUUGUUCGGAAGAAGGUUUGUAUCCAGAACAUAUAUAUCUAAUGCAGUUCACUGAGACAAAUGCUUCUAUUGAAUUUCUAUGUGUAUUUGAUACCUUCUAACAAUUACAAGAUGAAACUUAUAUAUAGGGAAAGAAAGAGGACAUAAGCCUAACUUGCCUAACUUGCCUAACACUUGCCUAACUUGCCUAACUUGCCUAACUUACACAAAGAAAGUUGACUAGCCUAACUUCACUAGUCAUCCAAUACCAUUGUUCCAACAUGUUUAUUUCAUGCAUUUUAACACUCCCCCUCAAGUUGGAGUGUGGAUGUCAAUGACACCCAACUUGCUAAGUAAGACUUCAAAUUGCGCCGAGCUUAGUGGUUUGGUGAACAAAUCUGCAGGUUGAUUCAAGGUUCGUAUGUAAGCUGUUUGCACCAUUCCCAUCUGAAUCUUCUCACGUACUAAGUGACAGUCGAUCUCUAUAUGCUUCGUUCGUUCAUGAAACACUGGGUUCGAAGCAAUGUGCAUGGCAGCUUGAUUAUCACAAAACAAUGUGACUGGUUGUGCAUGAUUCACUCGUAAGUCCUUCAAAAGGUUCCUUAACCAUAUAACUUCACAUCAGGUGAUAGCCAUAGAACGAUAUUCUGCCUCUGCACUAGAACGAGAUUUUGUGCUUUGCUUCUUCGUUUUCCAAGAUAUCGGUGCUUGCCCAAAGAAGAUACAAUAAUCGGUUAUUGACCUUCUAGUGUCUUUACACCGAGCCCAAUCAGCAUCACAAAAAGCUUGUAACUGUAGUGAACCUGUAGAAGGCAAAAGAAUUCCCUACCCAGGAGAUUGUUUGAUGUAUCUGAGAACCUUAUGCACUGCAUCAAGGUGUGGUUGUCGCGGCUUGUCCAUGAAUUGGCUUAACAUAUUAACCACGUAAGUCAGGUCAGGCCUCGUGAUGGUUAAGUAAAUUAGCCUCCCUACGAGUCUCCUAUAUGAAGAAGGAUCAUGUAGAAGCGUCCCUUCAGUUUGUGUAAGGGAUAAGUUUGGUUCCAUCGGCAAUCGUGGGGGCUUCGCACCAAGGAACCCAGCAUCUUCUAGUAUCUCCAACGCAUAUUUGCGUUGGCACAAGGCAAUCCCUUGUUUAGAUCUUGCAACUUCUAUCCCCAAAAAAUAUUUGAUUUUUCCCAAAUCCUUUAGCUUAAAAUGUUGGGAAAGGAAGAGUUUAGUCUCUUCAAUUUCUCUCAAAUUGUUACCUGUAAGUAUCGCAUCAUCAACAUACACAAGUAAUGCCAUGAAACUGCCUUGACGGUUUCGGACGAACAAUGAGUAAUCUGACCAUGAUUGAUGAAAACCAGCAGUCUUGAGAGCACUAGACAGCUUGAUAAACCACUGUCUUGAGGCCUGUUUUAAACCAUAAAUGGAUUUGUUUAAUUUGCAUACUCGUGUCUCCCCCUUUCGUCCGAACCCAGGAGGUAGGGACAUAUAAACCUCCUCGUAUAAGUCACCAUGCAAAAAUGCGUUGUUUACAUCAAGUUGGUGAAGAUGCCAACCACGGAUGGAGGCAAUACUGAGGAGGACACGGACGGUGGUGAGCUUGGCAACUGGAGCAAAUGUUUCCCGAUAAUCAAGCCCUUCAAUUUGACUAUAGCCUUUAGCAAUGAGACGGGCUUUGUAGCGUUCAACACUGCCGUCAGGUUUAAGCUUCACCUUAUAGAUCCAUUUGCAGCCGAUGGGAUGUUUGUGAGGUGGUAAGGGCACAAGAGUCCAAGUGCGAUUGUCAUGGAGGGCAGCAAUCUCUUUUUGCAUGGCGUCACGCCAUUUUGGAUCCUGAACAGCUUGCAAAAAACUGGUGGGUUCUUUGAUAAUGGUAAGGGUGGUGAGAAAGGUUUUGUGAGUGGUGGAUACAUGGUCAUAGGAUAAAUAACGAGAUAGGGAGUGAGAUGUACCUGAUGACUGAACCAUGCUUGUGGAAGAUGUGGGUGCAACACGGGAUGGGAGGGCCACCUCAACAUGAAAGUCCUGCAAAAAUGUGGAAGUUUUGGUUGGUCGAGUGCUACGACGGAGUGGAGGGGUUGGAUCUGGUGAUGGAGUGGUUGGAGGUGGGGAAGAGUGUAGGGUAAGUGAAGGUGUUGAUAAGGUAUCUGGUGGUGGAGUUGUAGAGGGUAAAGGAGAUGAAAGUGGUGUGAUGUCGGCAAGUGUGGGAGAUGUGGUGUUUAUGUCUGCUGGUGCAAGGCUUGAAUGCUACUCAAUGGGAGAGGUCGAGUCAAAUGGGAUAGGUGUAGUGUUUGAUGGAAACGGGGCAACGGAAGUGUUACAAUUUUGGAAUGGAAAAUGAUCUUCAAAAAAUACGACAUCCCUAGAAACAAAAGUCUUAUUGUGUUUUAUAUCAAACAAUUUAUAACCCUUUUGACCAUAAGGAUACCCAAGAAAAAUGCAUUGGAUUGCACGAGGGUCGAAUUUAAAGGGCCUUUGGGCAUGUGUAGAAGCAAAACACAAGCUGCCGAAAACCUUCAAAUGAGAAUAGUUAGGUGCUUUGUGAAACAGUUUUUCGUAGGGUGUUUUACCUUGGAGAAGUGAGUGGGUGUUCUAUUGAUGAGGUAGGCUGAGGUUAGGAUUGCAUCUCCCCAAAAACGUUUUGGCAGACAAGCUUGAAAGAGCAAAGCCCGAGCAACAUUGAGCAAGUGUCGGUGUUUACGUUCGGCAACACCAUUUUGUUGUGGUGUGUUAACGCAACUAGAUUGAUGUAUAAUGCCUUUGAGAGCAUAAAAUUGCUCAAGCUUAAACUCAGGGCCAUUGUCACUUCGUAUGAUUUGAACUCUGGUAUUGAAUUGAGUCUCAAUCAUUUGAAUGAAUUUUACCAAAAUGUCUUUUGUGUCAGAUUUAUGUUUCAUCAAAUGAACCCAAGUGCUUCUAGUGUAGUCAUCUACGAUGGUAAGGAAAUACUUGGCACCUGAAAUAGAAGCAACUUGAUAACCACCCCAAAUAUCAAUAUGCAAUAAUGCAAAACAUGAUUUGGUAGAAAUAGAGCUCAAAGGAAAGGGUGAUCGUGUUUGUUUGGCCAAUGGGCAAAUUGAACAUUUUUCCAAAUCACAAGCUUUAUUGUUAAAGAAAGGUAAUAACGAAGCGGCUUAAUGAGAUGGGUGUCCUAGGCGUUGGUGCCAAAGCUUUGGUGCGAUGGUUUGAAUAUUGUUGCAUGUUCCUUUCCUUGAUGAGUUGAGGUAGUAGAGUCCCUCCCUUUCAGUUGCCAUCCCAAUCAUCUUCCCCGAGCGAAGGUCCUGAAUUAGGGGUGGGUUCGGUUUAAAUCGGUUCGGUUUUUUGCCAAAACCGAAACCAAACCGAAAUUUCGGUUCGGUUCGGUUCGGUUCAAUUUUUUUUCGGUUUUUUUCGGUUCGGUUUUUUUUCGGUUUGGUUUUUUCCGGUUCGGUUUCGGUUUUUUGUUUUUUUUUUUCAAAAAAUGAAAAACAUUGAAAUAUUAAAAUUUAACAUAUCCAACACAAUCAUAACAUAAGCAUUCUAACUAGAGUCAAAGACAAUGAAAAUAAACAUUUAAAGUUGAACUAAAAUCAUCAAUCAAGUCUUCCAAAGUCCAAACUAACAACCUCACAACACAAAAAUCGUACAAAUGACUUAGAAAAGUUAAAUUGUAUGAUGUUGUUCAAAGAUCAGGGUUGUUUGCUUGUAACUACAUGUUGACAACUUGAUUAGUAAAAGUAAUGCAUGGGUGGAUUUAUUUAGUGUGUGUUGGAUUCUUUUCCAUAAUAAAUUACCCAAGUAAUCUACCCGAAAUAAAUGUUUAUGGAUUCUGUUACAUGUUAUAUGAGAGUAGAUUUGGACAAGAAAGCUGGGGCAGAAGUAGACAGUGCUAUGGAGAUGGAUGUAGGUACUUUAGGAGGAGGUUUGGUUACGGAACCUUAUAUGGGAGAGAAAUAAUAGGUUAGGGUUUAGAGUUGUUAUAGGCUUUUUUUAAUAUUUUGAGCUAAAGUUUGGCCACACAUUGGGUUUAGCACAUUUUAACUUACAAAUUGGGUUUAGAAAAUAAUACCCAAAACAAAUAAUUAAAUAAAAAAAUUAAUUUAAUUAAUUCGGUUCGGUUCGGUUUGGUUCGGUUUCUAGAUCACUAAAACCAAACCGAACCAAAAGAAUUGGGUUCGGUUCGGUUUUUUCAAUUCGGUUUGGUUUUUUCAUUCGGUUCGAUUUUUUCGGUUUCGGUUCGGUUUGGUUUUCGGUUUUUUUCGGUUUUCGGUUUUUUGAACCCACCCCUAUCCUGAAUGACACAAAAUUGGGUGAAGAAAAUUGUGACAUAUAAGGAAUCAUAGGCUAGUUUACUGAUGGAUAUUAAAUUUAAUUUAAAGAACGGCACACAUAGGACAUUGUCAAGGAUAAGAUUAUGAGAGAAAACAACUUGUCCAAUGUGAGUGACUUUGGCAACGGAACCAUUUGGCAGUUCAACUGUAUAAUUUUCAACAGCUCGUGAGUGUGUAAAGAGACUCGGGCUGCAAACUAUGUGAUCCGUGGCACCACUGUCCAGGAUCCAAAUACUUUCGGUUCUCAGAUACAUCAAACAAUCUCCUGGGCAGGGAAUUCUUUUGCCUUCUACAUGUUCACUACAGUUACAAGCUUUUUGUGAUGCUGAUUGGGCUCGGUGUAAAGACACUAGAAGGUCAAUAACCGGUUAUUGUAUCUUCCUUGGACAAGCACCGAUAUCUUGGAAAACGAAGAAGCAAAGCACAGUAUCAUGUUCUAGUGCAGAGGCAGAAUAUUGUUCUAUGGCUAUCACCUGUUGUGAAGUUAUUUGGCAACGGAACCAUUUGGCAGUUCAACUGUAUGAUUUUCAACAGCUCGUGAGUGUGUAAAGAGACUAGGGUUGCAAACUAUGUGAUCCGUGGCACCACUGUCCAGGAUCCAAAUACUUUCGGUUCCUUUACAGGAAAAAGAUAAGGCUUUACCUGAAAGUUCUUCAUGACUAGAAGGAUUACCAACUUGAUUGGCAAAUGAUGAUUUGUUCUUGUUCAACAUUUUAAGGAUUUGCUUGCAAUCCUCCUGAGAGAACGGGAAAUUGGGCAACAUCUCUUGCUUGUUACUUUGUGAAACUUGAUUCCCUUUUGAAGAAAAAGGACGACUGCUUUCCGUUUCUGUGGCUGCUUUCCGUUUUCGACAGAAAUCGAAGGUGUGACCUUUCCAUCCACAAAAAGUGCACUUGAGAUGUGCAUGACAGUUUUUGGUGAUGUGAUUGGUUCUAUUGCACUUUCCACAUCGCAUCUCUUUGUCUUCCGGUGUAGGUUCUUGCGACAAAUUCUUCACUGCAAAGACAACAGCCUCUGGUUGUGUACUCUUCCCAUUGGAAACCUCUGCCUGGCGUUCAUGUCGAAGGACCAACGCAUAUGCCUUGUUCACCGUAGGCAGUGGUUCGAGAAGAAGGGUAUUGCUUCGAACCGUAGCAUACGAUUCGUUCAAUCCCAUAAGGAACUUCAUGGUUUUCUGAGUUUCAACAUAUGAGUUCAUCUCAUUCUUUGUUCCACAACUGCAUGCUGGAAUGGAACACAAAGUAUCACGUUCAUCCUAUAAACUUUUAAGUUUAGUGAAGUAAGAACUUACACUCAUAUUGCUUUGGACGCAAUCAUGGAUCUCGUUCUCAACAUGGAACAGCUGAACUAUAUUCACAUGUGAGAACCUCUCCUGCAGAUCAGUCCACAUUUGUCGAGCAUCCUUGUAGUUGAUGACACUCCCUGAAAUCUCCUUUGACAUGGAGCCUAGUAGCCAUGUCUUGACCAAGUUGUUGCAACGAUUCCAUUGUUGCAGCUCCUCAGAAUUGUCCUCACUUGGUUUGUUGAUUGUCCCAUCAACAAAACCAAGUUUGUUCUUGACCGUUAAGGCCAUACUCAUGGAUUGAACCCAUGUGCUGUAGUUGUCUUCCACCAAUGAUUGUGGUACGAGGAUUGCACCAGGUUGGUCCGAGUGGUGGAGAUAGAGUGGGUGGUUGGGAUUUUCCCAUUUUGAAUGAGAAGCCAUGCCUGGAAUGGUUGACCUCGUGACUGCCUUAGAGCUUGUGUUUUGUGGUUUUCCCAGAUCACAGCUCUGAUACCAUAUUGAAUUUCUAUGUGUAUUUGAUACCUUCUAACAAUUACAAGAUGAAACUUAUUUAUAGGGAAAGAAAGAUGACAUAAACCUAACUUGCCUAACUUGCCUAACACUUGCCUAACUUGCCUAACUUGCCUAACUUACACAAAGAAAGUUGACUAGCCUAACUUCACUAGUCAUCCAAUACCAUUGUUCCAACAUGUUUAUUUCAUGCAUUUUAACAGCUUCAGCUCUGAAACACUAACAUUAUGUCUUCCAUCGGUCAGACAUUCACUCUCCCAUUGCUCAAAGCUGUUUAUUCCCAUUCUCAAGUCUGCUAGUCUUUUCAACCUUGAUGAAACGUUAGGUGAAAUCAGUACAAGUUCCGAGCAACCACUCAAAUCUAACAAGCGUAGACGAGUCAGUUCCCCUAUUUCAUUGGGCAACUCUCCAACCUGGGAGUGUGCAUGGCUAAGAACUUUCCGAGUUUAUUAGCUCUCCAACUGGAGCUAUAUCUCCCAACACGCACUGAUCUAAGCACAAUGUUUGAGGAAUGUUAGGUAUUUAAGAUAAGGAGGUCAUGAUGGAAAAUGAAGCACAGUUAAAUCCAACACUUUGAGCUCUUUCAUCUCUUCAAAAAAAAUUUGCAAAGGAUUUCUUGUCGCAGCCCGUCCCGAAAUAUUUAUUUUCGACAACGUGAAAUUACUUAUUUACCCUUGGACGUUUCGUGUGGUCAUGUGGGUGAAUUUUAUUUAGACCAAUUCAAAGAUUUUCCUAAGUUUUUGGAACACUUAGGACUUAUUUUUGUUGGUUGUGACCAACUAGGACCACACACAAGCACCCAUACUUUUCUCUCUCUCCCGUUGACUCUCUCUCUCCCUUCCCUCUCGGAUUUCUACAGAAAAUCCGUACAAACGUACGGACGAACCUCAAACCAACCCAUUUCUGCACAGAUCGAGCUCAUGAUUAGUACUUUCACUUUCAUCUCAUCAUCACGAACUCAAUCAUACCUUUUUAGGACUUGGAAGCUUCGGAAAACCUAUGAAAACCCUACCCCGAAAUUGACACUGUUCAUGCAUGUUCAAACGAAGAGUUUUUAGAGGAUUUUAAGCUCAUAAGGAGCUUUAGAAGGUCCUCACGAAGCUCGGGGUAGCUUGUUGGGUAGUUUUGGAUGUCGGGAUUGUGAGUUUCAAGUUUGGUCGGUUUUUCUCGAAUUUCUCCGGCGAGAUCCCGUGAUAUUUGGGCUUUAAACAGGUAAGGAAAUGUUCUACAAUUUAAGAGCUUCAAUUUGGUAUUGAUUUCAUGAAAUUUGGAUGAAAAACGACUAAGUUAUAAAGGUUUAAAGUUUUCCAGUUUUUUUCGGCGAUGGCGACGGUCCGGCGAACCAAGGAAGGAGACGACGGAAUAUUUCGUCAAGUUUGACAGAAUAUUCCAACGGCGUCAGGUUAGUUUUAACGGUAUAUGCUACUUUUUAACGGAAUAUUCCCUAACGUCGUUAGGAUUACCGUCAGUGUGCCAGGCACGUGCCUGCGCGUGGGCGGCCCGUCUGGCCGUGCCUUGGCCGGGGCGUGGGUGGUCGGAAAAUUUUUCUAAAAAUAUGGGGAUGUUCGUGAAGUUGUGUAGAUCACGUUGGUAUAUUCAAACAUCUCAUUUGAGCAAUGUAUGAGAAGUUAUUAGCUAGUAUUGGUUAUGUGCUUUAAAUUAACGUUUCUAUAGUUGUUUCGCAUAUAGGGGAGACUUAUCCCGAGGACGAGCGCAGUCAAGGGCGACUCGAGGGCUACGACCCUUCGACAUACCAGUGAGUGGGCUUUUGGUUUUCAGUAUUUAUUUAUAUACUUGAUAUUUUCCCAGAAAAUAUGUUUAAAUGAAAGUAUGCCUUGAAUUGCCAUGCAUAUAAAUUGAUAUUCAGUAUAUGAAAUAGUACAUGAUGCAUAUAUAUAAUUGUGGUGCUGUGGACACUCAAGUAAGCCAGGUGAGUUUAUGAAUUGUGAAUGUGAUUAACGUUUAUGAUUAAUUGAGAAGCUUAGAGCUCAUAAACCUUCACCCUGGGUGAUUGUGAAUUACUGGAGAUAGAAUACAGGUAUGUUUAUAAUGUCACCUCCCGCACCAUAUGCUCAUAUUGGAUCCAAUUUAGGUGCACAGUCUUGUCGUACAGACCAUCAUAGGUGUUCCGACUCGUAGAUGACUAGCGAUUUAUCGCACAUCUAUCAUGAGAAAGUAGCGUUGAGCAUAAUUAUAUUACACCCAGUCUUGUCGUACAGACCCUUUUAGUGGUUCUGACUUAUGUGCAGUGUAGUGCCGUAUAGGUCAUUGUAGUGACUCCGGCUAGAUUGACUAAUGAGCUAUGAAAUCAGCCGUACAGACUUAUACAGAGGUUCCGGCUAAUAUGCUAUUUCCAUGAAUUUAUUCUCACCUGAGUCAUUUAUCCUAUUUUCAUGUUUUGGCAUGGCAUACUUAUGAAUAUAGUUAUGUGAAGCAUGAUUUGAAUUGAGAUAUUUAUAUAGUUAUGCAUAUGUUUAUAUUCUAUCUUUGGGAAAAUUAUACAUGUUUUACAACGAGGGGUUAGAACAUUUGAAAGUUAAGUGUGUUUUCAAAACCUUUGUUUUUGCCCACUCACGUUUUCUGUUCUGCGCCCUUCUAGGUUUUAGGUAGACUUGUUGUUGGUGGCAAUUUGAGGAUCUCGGCGGUUCUAACAAAUUAUAUAAUUACUAGGACAUCUUUUGGUACUGUAUAAUUAGUACUUGUCCUACUGGACUGCAUCUAGACUUUCUAUGCUCUGAUUAGGAGUAUUUACACUUGUAUCUUACUCCUAACACUUCUGUUUAUUAGUGCACCUUAGUAGCUUUUGGUUUUGUUUAUUCAUAUAUUUAUUAUCUCUUAUCUCGAUUGCUUCCGCACUGUGCAUAUGGCUACGUCACCCUCACGUGACGGCCAGUACGCCCUGAUCAUGGUCAGGGUGUGUCAUUUCUAGCAAGCCAUCACUAUUCCUAAAUAAAAUAUUUUCAGUUCUGAGCAUUCCCAAGGUACUUGGAGAAGCGUGGGUAUGGACAGUACAGUAACGAAGAGAGACCAAUAUCAUAGAGGACUCUUUAAACAAAUCCAUGGCUGGCCAUUCUUACAACUCCGCAUAUGUUAACAAUCCGGACAGCAACAUCUCGUACAAGCUCGUGCAUUCUAGCACUGAUCAUCAUAACCGUCUUUGAAUCAACAAAUGAAAUGCAUUUCGUGCCUCUUCCACAGUAUCAAAAAUUUUAACCGACACUAAACCUAUAAUAUAUUUGAACAAGUCGGACAAAAAAAUUAGAGUCACUUUGUGCCACCAUUCCGCAGAGCAUGAAAAAGCUUCUCAUCAUCCAAUUGAUUGUAAGUUUGUAACUCCACUCUAGACCCAAGUAUGCCGUCUCUUUUAAUCCUUUUUUGUCAACUUUUGAAGCACUCCCUCUUAAAGUGCUUGCAAGUGCAACAACUAAAACCGGUAAACCCCCACAUUGUUCUGCUAGUUGGGUUGCUACUUUCAGUAUACGUCAUCUUUAACAACAUCACCGGCCAUCUUCUCAAACAAAUUCCACGAUUGUUCUGCUAGUUGGGUUGCUACUUCGCAUCGGUGCCCAGAGAAGUCCCACAAGGUCCAAAUCAUUUCUUCCCAAAACAUCAACUACAGUAACAAGUGUUCUUGUCUGCUCAAUGAUAUUAUUGUUUUUUUAUGCUCAAUAUCCACCUCAUUAAUUUCUGUACCCCAAGUCCAAUGUGAGAUGACUUGCAUAAGAAUCUUUUUCUUCUAGCUCUCAAAAUUUUUGACAAGGAGAAGUUGCACCUGUGAAUUUUGGUUCUUUAUCGAAACAGAUUUUUUUUUUUGAGGGAGGUAAUGGAGAUCGUACUGUCAGACAAAUUGAUUAAGAUAUGGAUGACGAGGAUUUGAUAUGAGCAGGCAAGAAAGUGGCUAUCAAAAUUGAAACAUGAGUGGUGUGUAUUUUUAGAAUUUGUGGUACUGUGGGAUCACGGAAACUUGAAUUAAUCAGCACAACCACAACAAACACUGAUUUGUCCCAUGCUCAAAGUUGUAGCUAAAACUACAAAAAAAAAAUCAUUUUAGGAGCUCUCGGAAAAAAUUGUACUCCAACCAAUGAAAUCUAGCUUUGUUUCCAAACGAAAAAGAAAAAUAUACAAACGUACACACAUCCAGUUAAAAGAUGCGAUUCGAUUGAUUCGAUUUUAGUAAAGAAUAAGAAGCACUCUCCAGUACAAAGCAGUUUUAGUAGACAAGUGCAUACAAGCACCACUUCAAAUGCAUAAAUGUUUACAGAAAUCACACUAGCAUUAUUUCCCAAACACCAAUACCGAAAAUGAAGUGAACAAAGCUCCAAAUACAAAUCACACUUCUACCACGAAACACUAACAAGUCAACACAAGCAUAACAUGACUUGGAAUAUGUAUCAGUGCCUACCCAAAUCACACAAGUUUCUGGGAUAGCUUUUCCGUUGAUGCCGUAGCUUGCAGGCUUAUACCAAACAAGAUGAGAUCGGCCUCGGAUACGAAGCUGGGCACAGACCGUUGAGGGGUGAAUAGAGAAUAGUCACAGCAAGUAACAAGAGAAACUAGCUAGAAAGAAGUAUACUGAAAGUAGCAACCCAACUAGCAACCACAAUAACGCUAAAGCCAUAUAGCCUGCAUCUUCAUGAUCUCCAAUGCCCUUCAUUAAACCACCACAGUAACGCCAAAGCAAAAAAGGUCCAAGCAAUCAUAUAACCAAGGCUAGAAUUGGCCUCUAGCCGACAGAAAUCACAUAACCAAGGCUUCUUCCUUGAGGCGGAAGCUUGCCAACUUAAAUCCGAUAUGGCGGUCGCUGACAAUAAGAGUGGUGCCCAUCUUGUUCUUGGAACUAUGACUAAUAGUCAUAGCACGACAUCAAGUAGCAUAGUUGUCUCCAUCCAAAAAAUUUGGACAUACCAAUGUGAUUUCUGGGGAAUGUGUUGUGUGGUCCAAUAGAUCAGAGAGCCUUCUAGUCUGCUCACCAGGAUGAUAUUUCUUCCUUUAAAAGGAAGAAGAAUAUAAUACACAAACAAGCAAUCACACACAGCCGGAAAAACUUAACAGGCCAGCCAAAAAAUGAGGAUUCCUCUUUGGUAGAGAGUGUUGCAAUUGUAACAUCUAAAUUUGUAUCUUCUGGUCCUGUAAAAAUAUAUAUUUAGUUGACGAUUACAAAUAAACACACAAACUGUUCAAUAAGAAAUCUGACUGAAGAACUAUGAAUAAGAUGAAUAAAUCAGACUUUUAAUUUUAACGGUUCAAGGUUCAGAAAAAGCUGGAAAAUUGGAGAGUGAAAUUAAUAGAUGCUUCAUUAGUGAAUGAAGUACUUACAAUUUGAUCAGGAUCACUCUCCUCUGAAUCACUUAGCAUCGAUACAUCAUCAGUUUCCUCUGCUAUUUGUAGUCUUUUUGGUCUUGGAUCACUUUGGAGUAACCCAUCAGGAGAAAUCUUCAGCUGGCAGUCCUCGACAAUCAAAUUGGGUAAGGAUGGGACUUUGAAAAUGCAAUUUCCCUUGCAAAAUCCUUGCAGACUUGGUAGACCAGAAAGUUCCAAAUGUUCCAAGCAACUGAAAGUAAUCUCAUUUUCUGAAUCAUCUUCGUUGCUUGCCACUAUUUCUACCAUUCUUUCGCAGGACUUAACUACCAACUUCUUGAGUUGCUGCAAAUUCUUAGCCACAGAAUGAGGUAUUAAGUAUUGCAGUCUGUGACAAUCCAAUAUGGUCAAAGUGGUUAGAUUCCAAAAGGAUAUCAAAGUUGAAGCUAGAUUAUCUAAUCUGCUACAUUUUUCUAGGCGUAGAAAUUCCAAGUUCGGAAAAACAGGGCCCCCUGGUUGGGAGUUCUCCCUUCCUAGAUGUAUCAGCUCCGGCAUAUUGCCGAGCCCCAAAACCUUUACACGUGGGAGGGUCUUAACUUCAUGUAUUUCCCCGCUACUACUUCCUUGGUAGUCGUGGACAAUUAAUUCUUUCCAAGGAGCAGAGAGCACACGGAGCUGUUCAAUAUUCUGUAAAUUCUCAAAGAAAUAAUCUGAUUUGGGAUGUGAAGUAGCAAAACCAAUAAAUCUUAGUUUUCUCAACAACUCUGACAGGAGUGGACCAUUCAAAAUCUCCGUCUUCUCGUCCAAAACCAAGUAUUCCAAGUUGAGGAAUGACUUAUCCUGAAAUAUAAUAAAUGGUAAAGGCAUGCUUUAAAAUAUUUUGAAAAACUGGAUAUCACAUAAUAACUUUAAUAUUAAAAACAUAAUAAAUGUAUUUACUUGAUGGUGUAUGUUUAACUAGUAUGUAAAAAUCACAUAAAAUUUCGAAUAUCAAGAGUUGUGUACAAGUAUGGUUACCUUCUCAAUUAAAAAGAAAGGUUGUUCUGUUGGUCUUGGGUGGCCCAACACAAACUUGUCUUGAUAUGUUGAAAAUUCAGCAGCAAAAAUCUCCACACCACCACAUUUCGUGAACUUUAAUUUGUUGAGUGAUGGCCAAUUACAAACAUGCAAUCCUGGAUAGAAACUCCGAAGUUGGGGCAAAUUAUCAAAUUCCAUAGAUGUUACUUUAGGGAACCCGAACUCGUAUGUCGUUUGUGGUCCUUCUUCCUUCACAACAACCUCCAUUAAACCACAAUUCUUAACCUUCAACUUGCUUAGUUGCUUAAGAUCUUUGGCCACUGAGGCGGGAAAGACAUUUUCCAAGCCAUCACAUGAGUCUAUCUCAAUUGAGCUUAGAUUUGAGCACUCAAAGUCAUUCAACUGGGUGGUAGACGAUAUGUCAUAUACCAUUUGUAGUGCUUGACAUUUAGAUAUCUUGAGAUGUUUGAGUUGUUUGAGACAUUUAGCCAUGGAACUCCAAAACAAGAAUCUUAAACUAUCACAUCCAUGCACAGUCAAGGUUGUUAGCAUUGAAACCUGCAUAGUAUAGAACAAAAUCCUGUUUAUUUUAGAAAAUUACUGUUUACAUUGUUGUAGCGGUAUAUGUUCCAAAUGUGUAGAUAUAAAGUAAAGGUCAUAUAUUAUAUAAGCUACUAGACAGCUGUAAGCCUUUCUAUUUUCAUUAAAAAAAAAUUGGUCAAAAAGAUAUAUUUUGUUAGAUAGGUGUGGUCAAAAGAUAUAUUUGAUUAAAAAUAAUUUGGUCAAAAGAUAUAUUGUUUUGGUCAAAAAAUUUUUUAGCCGCAGAAGAGGUUUGAACCCAUAUUGUUAUGUAAGAGUUCAACUCAUUUUUACCACUAUGAUAAAAUGCCACUUACUUUCUUCUUUCAUUAAUUAGCAAUUUAAUUCCAAAUUCAAACUAUUUUACUUAAAUUGAUACCAUGAAAUUGUGAUGACAAGUGAUUGAUUGUUCUGAUUGUUAAGAAUUGAGUUCAAAUUUUCUACGUCUAAAAUAGGUGUGGUCUUUCUAUCGUAUGUCUCAUUACUUGACACCCCAACAAGUGUAACCCUAUCAUAACCCUCUCAGCUCCUAACACUAUGUUUGGAUGAGGGAAAUAAAUUCAGAAUUUGGAUAAAAGUCAAAAUUUAUAAAUUGACAUGCACCAAUUCUCUUAUUUGGAUUCAUAAACAUAGAAAUUUAGAAUUUUCGCGUGGAAAAAAACUUGGAAUUUGGGACCUCCAAUUUCCAAGUUUAAAUUCUAUGUAAAUAUGUGUCAUUUCUCAAUUUUUAUGAUUGAGUGUUUAAAAAUAACAAAUUCCGUAUUCAAUUUCAUUGUUCUUUUAGGUUAACCAAACAAGAAAAUUUACAAAUUCUAGAAAAUAAAAUCCCGUCAUUUUAAAAUUUCUUAGUAAACUUAAAUUUCUUCAUCCAAACAUAGAGUAAGAAAAUUAAAUAAAAAUAAGAACAAAAGUAAGAAAAAAGAAGCCGCUCAUCCUCCAUUCCUCCUCUCUCUCUCUCUCACUUCCCCAAACACAACAGCAGCAAUAUCAAUUGCAUCUCCUUCGUACUUUAAAUCCAUAAAUCAAACCCAAAAGACUCACCCCUCAAUUUAACUGCUCCUGCAAAGAAUAAAUCCCUUUUGGGCUGUCAGAUUUGUGAAUAUGAGUUUCCCCUGAAAUUUCUUUUAGGUGCAAAAUUCGUUGAAUUUACACCCUUGUCGAUCGAGAGGGAUGUCGAUGUCACCACGACGAUCUCCUAUUGCAAAUCCUUGGGGUCCUUGCCGAUGACCGUUCCCGCGAGCUCCUUCGGCUAUGGAUCUGUUCCUCAUAACCUUGGCGAUCUCUAUGACGUCAUCAAGGGAGAUGCUGCUGCUGUGCUUGGAAGAGGUGGUGGGAGGGGGCGGUGAUUGGUGGCAUUGGGAUGGAAGGGAAAUGGGAGAGGUACACAGUGCGCUGGGCUACGCUCUGAUUUUUUAUUUUUUUAUUUAUUUUAUUUUAUUUGGAGUUAACACCAUUAGGUUUGGUUGAGUGAAUGGACAUGAAAUGACAUACAACAUGGGAAAAUAAAUGGUUUUGUCUAAGGAAGACAUUUGAAAAUUAAAACACGAAAGAAACCUGAUUUAACAUACCAUUUAAACAUUUUUCUAAUCUAAAACAUGAAAGAAUUAUAUGAUCGAAAUUCGAAGAAGAAAACUAUUUGGAGAAAGAAUCAUGCAAUCAUUUUGCUAGGAAAAUUACAGAGAAAGUACCUCUUCAUUAUUGAAAAGUCUCGAUUGUCCACCAGCUUCAUCCUCCGUAACGAUUUCGUCGGCUUCUGUAGCAAUUGUUAAUUGAUCAGAGAAACCAAUAAGCUUUGGUAGAUUCCGAAGUGUUAAAAAUUUUAACUUUCGGAAAGGCUCGCCUAUGAGUUGCCCAUAACAUACACUUUCCAAACUCACAAGGUCUUCAAGAGCUAGAGAUUCCAGGUUGGAGAAGGCAUUAGGAGAGUAACUCCAAUUGACGGAGUUAAUGACAUAUUUAACUUCGUCGUUGUUUUGGACAUGGAAAUGCUUCAGUUGAUUAACAGCUCCACUGUCAAAUAGAUAGGAAAUAAUAUUCACACUCUCCACCCCAUCCAAGUACAACUGCUCACAUUUCUUUACCAGCAACUUUAUACCUCCGUCGAACUGAUUUCUCCUGGUGAGCUUGAGCUUGAGCAUGUUAGAGGAGGUUGCAAGGAUGUUAGGAUACUCCCAACAAUCACCGACAAGUAUGGUGUAUCUUUCUAACUUAUCGGAGAACAAGUCGGUUGGAAGAAGGUUAGCAUCUGGAACGUGUACGUCCAAUGCGGAUAGAUGAGAUAAGUGCUUCAGCUCUGAA